CCUACGGGAGGCAGCAGUGAGGAAUAUUGGUCAAUGGCCGUAAGGCUGAACCAGCCAAGCCGCGUGAAGGAAGAAGGAUCUAUGGUUUGUAACCUUCUUUUAUAGGGGAAUAAAGGUAUCCACGUGUGGAUAUUUGCAUGUACCCUAUGAAUAUGCAUCGGUUAACUCCUUGCCAGCAGCCGCGGUAAUACGGAGGAUGCAAGCGUUAUCCGGAUUUAGUGGGGUUAAAGGGUGCGUAGGUGGUUUUGUAAGUCACCGGUGAAAGUUUGGGGCUCAACCAUAAAAUUGCCGUUGAAACUGGAAGUCUUGAGUGUGUGUGAGGUAGGCGGAAUGCGGGGUGUAGCGGUGAAAUGCAUAGAUAUCACGAAGAACUCCGAUUGCGAAGGCAGCUUACUAAGCCAUAACUGACACUGAAGCACGAAAGCGUGGGGAUCAAACAGGAUUAGAUACCCUUGUAGUC
rnacentral:rRNA from 1 species